rnacentral:rRNA from 1 species
UAGGGAAUAUUAGUAAUGGGCGAAAGCCUGAACUGGCAUCGCCGCGUGUGCGAAGAAGGCCUUCGGGUUGUAAAGCACUUUUUGAGAGGAUGAGGAAGGACGGUACUCUCAGAAUAAGUCUCGGCUAACUACGUGCCAGCAGCCGCGGUAACACGUAGGAGGCGAACGUUAUCCGGAUUUACUGGGCGUAAGCGCGUGUAGGUGGUUUGGUAAGUAGGGCGUGAAAGCUCCUGGCUCAACUGGGAGAGGCCGUUCUAAACUGCCGAACUAGAGGAUGGUAGAGGGAGGUGGAAUUCCGGGUGUAGCGGUGGAAUGCGCAGAUAUCCGGAGGAACACCAGUGGCGAAAGCGGCCUCCUGGACCAUUCCUGACACUCAGACGCGAAAGCUAGGGUAGCAAACGG